rnacentral:rRNA from 1 species
UACGUAGGGUGCGAGCGUUGUCCGGAAUUAUUGGGCGUAAAGAGCUCGUAGGCGGCUUGUCGCGUCGGAUGUGAAAGCCCGGGGCUUAACCCCGGGUCUGCAUUCGAUACGGGCAGGCUAGAGUUCGGUAGGGGAGAUCGGAAUUCCUGGUGUAGCGGUGAAAUGCGUAGAUAUCGGAAGGAACACCAGUGGCGAAAGCGGCUUCCUGGUCCAGCACCGACGUUCAGGCGCGAAAGCGUGGGGAGCAAACAG